CCUGUUGAGCAUUCCACAAGCUACUCAGAUUACAAACGAAAAUAGCCAUCGGGCCAAUUUGAUGCACUUUUGUCAUCCAAUAUUAUUCACGGACUGUACCUUUGUGAGCUGGCCCACUGGAUGUGGGCAGACCAAGCCCAAGGAGCAGGCCAAGCAGCGUACUCAAUGAUUUAUUCGUUUGUAAUUUCGAUGCGAGCCCACGAUCUGAGCGCCAAUGAGCCAAGCUGAUCCGCCAGAGCGCAUAUGUAUGUAUGUGUGCGUGUGUGAGUCUGUUUGUGCUCCAGUAAAACAUGCGACAGCGAACGCAAACAUGGACACUGAUCGCACAGCAGCGGCCAAAGCAAGUAAAAGGCCGGCAGCGAUUUCCACAGCCAACUGUCUAAACUGGGCCUAAAAAUGAUGGCCUAGACUCGAGCACACACCCAUGCAGGUGCCAAUGUGUGUGUGUGACAUCGGAGCAGCGUCGACUAAUGAAGAUGCGCGAUGCAUCAUGCGCGCCUGCCUAACAACCACGGCAGCAACCCACCUUCAAGAGUCAUUUGCAUGUUGUUGCAGGGAGACGACGGACAACAACAGCAGCAACAACAACAAGAACAACGAUGGCAACUGGCGCGGCGGGCUCUGUCGCUCUGGUCACCAAGUAUGUGGCAAGUUGUGGCAAGUAAUGCAAGAAGGAUUUGCUCUGGUCUACGGACUGGUUUUUGGGCGGCCGGGAGGCAGCUCUCGGCAUUUGGGUGUAAAAUAAAGGAAUGACUAAUUUUUCAACGUUUCGACGAAUGAUAAAUGUGGCAUGUGGCGAGCCCGAGAGCAAUCAUGUUGCACUGUCACUUGGGCACAGUCGCCGUCGCCGUCGCAGUCAGAGUCGCCCGUCGCCUAAGCUCUCUGCUGCUGCUGCCGCAUGUUGCAUGCUGGAAUUGUUGCAACGUCAUAAUUAUCCAUCCACGUCCUCGUCCGUGGCCCUGAGAAUGAGUAACGACUCUGCCGGUAAAUGGACAACGCCAGCCCCAGCCGCAGCCUCAGCCCCAGUCAUCGUCAGCUUCAGCCCCAGCCGCAGCCCCAGCUUUAGCCUCAACUUCAACUCAUCUCCUGUUGCCGGCCAUUCAUCGUACAUACGCAGUUCAUUUCAUACAAUAACUGAAGUUCUUUUUGCGUCCAGCUCCCGUCGCAUAGCGAGCGCCAUUUGGAAUUUAGUCAAACUCAUCGCAGAGACUGCAGAAAUUUGCAUUUUACCAAGUGACGAACGUCCAUUCCCCACACAUCUUAAGCCAUUAAGCAGGUCCAUGACAGAAGCCACCAUGAACGAGAUUUGAAGCCACCUAAAAUGCCAAAAAUAAUGCUGGAAUGUUUCAAAGAUAUGUGUUCGUUCCAUGCACUGACUGCCAGAGAUUACGCAGAAAGCACAGGCAGAGGCAACUGAAUGCUGAAUGCAAAUAGAGCUUGGAAAGCUCACUAAUGCUAGCACAAAUGCUGGCUUACGAAUACAUUCACUCGUGGCAAAAGGAAUUCAUUUCUAUUCAAGGUGGUCCAGCAAAGACAUUUCUCAUUUCGGCUGCCCUCGACCGAGGCUCGAGUGCAAAGUAAGAGAUGAUGCCCUAAAGGAAUCAUUUCAUAGUCAUCAUCGGAAGUACUAGUGCAGGAAUGAACUGGCCUGGCCAGACCAUGGCCUGCCUUCGUCAGAUGUUGCUGAUGUUUGCUUGACUGUUGUACUAGAGCUGUUGUUAAACUAGUUUGGCUGUGUUUUUUUUUCGCUCUCUUCAUGCUGGACCGAGCAUUUAAUGAAGUCAUUAAAAGCGGCGCGUGUGGCGCGAUCUCAAAUUACUUCGCAUAACCGAAAAUUACAUACAAAUGAAGGGAGCUCUGGCUCUAGUUGGUUGCUUGCAUGCGACUGCGACGGCGACUAGGACGCGCCCAGUAGAGCUUAAAAUAAACGCGGGAACCGCUCUGCAACGCAAUGAAAACAAGCGUUUACCUUGCAUCAGGGGCAGCUAAUGGAGCUGCAGCUUGGCUUUGCGCGACCUGCUGCUGCUGAGCGACUGUCAAACCGGUAGAGAGCCAACAGCCAGACAACCAACAACACUAACAACAACAGCAACAACAACAAUUACAUACAACAACCUUCAGAGCUGACUGCAUCCGCGAACUAAUGGACUGUGCAAAAAUGAGUGACGCAGCAUCAGUUGUGGCGGAGCCAUCGGUGAGUCCUGCGGCGAGAGAGCAGCAGCAGCUGGACAAACCAAUGCGACGACAAGGGCAACAACAACGUAUGCCAAGUCUUUAUAUGCAAUGGCCAUAUUUAGAUAAGGUAACGACAAAAUUUUUACAAUUUCUACAAUGCCGAACCGACUGACAAAUGCACAUCAGAGGGACGUGCAGG